AUUGAACGCUGGCGGCAGGCCUAACACAUGCAAGUCGAGCGGAUGAAGGGAGCUUGCUCCUGGAUUCAGCGGCGGACGGGUGAGUAAUGCCUAGGAAUCUGCCUGGUAGUGGGGGAUAACGUCCGGAAACGGGCGCUAAUACCGCAUACGUCCUGAGGGAGGAAGUGGAGGAUCUUCGGACCUCACGCUAUCAGAUGAGCCUAGGUCGGAUUAGCUAGUUGGUGGGGUAAAGGCCUACCAAGGCGACGAUCCGUAGCUGGUCUGAGAGGAUGAUCAGUCACACUGGAACUGAGACACGGUCCAGACUCCUACGGGAGGCAGCAGUGGGGAAUAUUGGACAAUGGGCGAAAGCCUGAUCCAGCCAUGCCGCGUGUGUGAAGAAGGUCUUCGGAUUGUAAAGCACUUUAAGUUGGGAGGAAGGGCAGUAAGUUAAUACCUUGCUGUUUUGACGUUACCAACAGAAUAAGCACCGGCUAACUUCGUG
rnacentral:rRNA from 1 species